AGGGAUGAAGCUCAGUGGUAGAGCAGGUGGUAGCAUGUACAAGGCUCUGGGUUCAAUCCCCAGCACCACCA
rnacentral:tRNA from 1 species